UACGUAGGGUCCGAGCGUUGUCCGGAAUUACUGGGCGUAAAGUGUGCGCAGGUGGCCGCGCAAGUCGAGUGUGAAAUCCCCGAGCUUAACUUGGGAAUUGCGCUCGAAACUACGUGGCUCGAGUGUGGCAGAGGAAGGUGGAAUUCCACGUGUAGCGGUGAAAUGCGUAGAGAUGUGGAGGAACACCGAUGGCGAAGGCAGCCUUCUGGGCCAACACUGACGCUCAUGCACGAAAGCGUGGGGAGCAAACAGG
rnacentral:rRNA from 1 species